AAAACGACUCUCGGCAACGGAUAUCUCGGCUCUCGCAUCGAUGAAGAACGUAACCGAAAUGCGAUACUUGGUGUGAAUUGCAGAAUCCCGUGAACCAUCGAGUCUUUGAACGCAAGUUGCGCCCCAAGCCUUCUGGCCGAGGGCACGUCUGCCUGGG
rnacentral:rRNA from 1 species